UACGUAGGGUGCAAGCGUUGUCCGGAAUUAUUGGGCGUAAAGAGCUCGUAGGCGGUUUGUCGCGUCUGCUGUGAAAUCCCGAGGCUCAACCUCGGGCCUGCAGUGGGUACGGGCAGACUAGAGUGCGGUAGGGGAGAUUGGAACUCCUGGUGUAGCGGUGAAAUGCGCAGAUAUCAGGAGGAACACCGGUGGCGAAGGCGGGUCUCUGGGCCGAUAUUGACGCUGAGGAGCGAAAGCGUGGGGAGCAAACAGG
rnacentral:rRNA from 1 species